CCCUGUUAAAAUUCAACUUCUUUCCCCUUUAUAAAUAUAAAUAAAAACAAGCAAUUUCACAUUUUGUUGCUCAAUUAUUCUUUCUAUAUCUCAAGAUAUUAAAUAAUAGGGUUAGCUGAUUUUGAAGAAUUUCGAGUUUGCGUUUCCCCUUCUCCCUAAAUUUUACCAGGUUGAUAUUUUAACAGAUACUAACUGUUAAAGUGUGCGUACUGGGAACGAUUUGUGCUUAGAGAAGCUAAUGAUAGCCAUAUAGUAUGGAAUCACACCAGCUGUAUGGAUAUGGUGUGACUGAUGCGAAUUUGUCAUAUUCUUACUCUAAGACUACUACUCCUUCGAUACCUAAUAGGCUGUUGGGAACAUUGAAAUUUGAUUCGGGAAAUUCUCCAAAUUCUCCAUUUGUAAACUAUUUUGAUCCUGGUACCCCUACCACUUUAAGUGAUAGCCUGGAGCAGCACAGCUCUACUGAAAAUAUUUCAGGGACUAGUCCUUCCAAUAAUUCCUUGCGGGAUUUUAAUCAUUAUUUCUGUAGGCCUAGCCCCUCUUCAGAUAAGCAUAUGCUGACCCUUCUCUGCGCAGUAUCCAACUAAAUUCACCAGGUUUCUAUGGUGUAGCCUUCCCAGUAACAUGACCUGUGGAAACAAAAGAAGCAGGAAGUCAAUUUAGUUUUAAAAAAAAACAUUUACAUCAUACAAUGUAGUUCAGCUAUUACAGCAUACAUACGGUUUAGCACAAAAUACGAAUAAAAGGAUGAGGCUCAGAGGAUAUCUUGAUGAAAAGUUUUGUUAGCUUACUAAUGCUAGGAUUUGCCUCAACUUUUUUUAGUGUGCUGUGAAAUUUGGAGAAAGCAUUGUUCAUGUUUGGAGGGUACAUCAAUUUUCCUGUCCCCUCUUGCUUAUGAUCAGUUGCAAGCACAGAAGCACUUCACCAGCUACUGAAUCAAAAUAUGAGGGAAGUGGAAGUAAAUAUACCCUUCUCUUUUUAUCUGAAAACCAGAUGUUUAUUAAAGAUCA